UACGGAGGGGGCUAGCGUUGUUCGGAAUUACUGGGCGUAAAGCGCGCGUAGGCGGCCCGGUAAGUCCGCUGUAAAAGUCAAAGGCUCAACCUUUGAAUGUCAGUGGAUACUGCCGGGCUAGAGUCCGGAAGAGGCGAGUGGAACUCCUGGUGUAGCGGUGGAAUGCGCAGAUAUCAGGAAGAACACCGACGGCGAAGGCAGCUCGCUGGGACGGUACUGACGCUGAGGCGCGAAAGCGUGGGGAGCGAACAGG
rnacentral:rRNA from 1 species